rnacentral:rRNA from 1 species
UACGGAGGGUGCAAGCGUUGUUCGGAAUCACUGGGCGUAAAGCGCGUGUAGGCGGCUCUGUAAGUCUGGUGUGAAAGCCCGGGGCUUACCCCCGGAAGUGCACUGGAAACUGCAAGGCUUGAGUACCGGAGAGGAAGGUGGAAUUCCUGGUGUAGCGGUGAAAUGCGUAGAUAUCAGGAGGAACACCGGUGGCGAAGGCGGCCUUCUGGACGGAUACUGACGCUGAGACGCGAAAGCGUGGGGAGCAAACAGG